rnacentral:rRNA from 1 species
GUCUAUGGCCAUGCCACUCUGAAUGUGCCGAUCUUGUCUGAUCUUGGAAGCUAAGCAAGGUAGGGCCUGAUUAGUACUUGGAGGGGAGACCAUCUAGGAAUACCAGGUGCCGUAGGUA